GAGUUUGAUCGUGGCUCAGAACGAACGCUGGCGGCGUGCCUAACACAUGCAAGUCGAGCGGGAAAGUUCCCUUCGGGGGGCGAGUACAGCGGCGCACGGGUGAGUAACACGUAGGUAACCUACCUGCGAGACUGGGAUAACCUGCCGAAAGGCGGGCUAAUACCAGAUAAGACCACGAGGGCUGCGGUCCUUGGGGUAAAAGGUGGCCUCUUCAUGAAAGCUACUACUCGCGGAUGGGCCUGCGCGCCAUUAGCUAGUUGGCGGGGUAACGGCCCACCAAGGCAAAGAUGGCUAGCUGGUCUGAGAGGAUGGCCAGCCACACUGGGACUGAGACACGGCCCAGACUCCUACGGGAGGCAGCAGUGGGGAAUAUUGCGCAAUGGGCGAAAGCCUGACGCAGCGACGCCGCGUGGGUGAUGAAGGCCUUCGGGUCGUAAACCCCUCGUCGGGAGGGACGGAAACCGUCGGUGACCCAACUACGUCAUCGACCUGACGGUACCUCCUAAGGAAGCACCGGCUAACUCCGUGCCAGCAGCCGCC
rnacentral:rRNA from 1 species